rnacentral:rRNA from 1 species
UACGAAGGGGGCUAGCGUUGUUCGGAAUUACUGGGCGUAAAGCGCGCGCAGGCGGUUUCUCAAGUCAGUGGUGAAAGCCCGGAGCUCAACUCCGGAACUGCCAUUGAAACUGUGAAACUUUGAGGACGAGAGAGGUGAGUGGAAUUCCGAGUGUAGAGGUGAAAUUUCGUAGAUAUUCGGAAGAACACCAGUGGCGAAGGCGACUCACUGGACACGUAUUGACGCUGAGGUGCGAAAGCGUGGGGAGCAAACAGG